rnacentral:rRNA from 1 species
UGGGGAAUAUUGCACAAUGGGCGCAAGCCUGAUGCAGCCAUGCCGCGUGUGUGAAGAAGGCCUUCGGGUUGUAAAGCACUUUCAGCGAGGAGGAAGGUGGUGAACUUAAUACGUUCAUCAAUUGACGUUACUCGCAGAAGAAGCACCGGCUAACUCCGUGCCAGCAGCCGCGGUAAUACGGAGGGUGCAAGCGUUAAUCGGAAUUACUGGGCGUAAAGCGCACGCAGGCGGUUUGUUAAGUCAGAUGUGAAAUCCCCGGGCUCAACCUGGGAACUGCAUUUGAAACUGGCAAGCUAGAGUCUCGUAGAGGGGGGUAGAAUUCCAGGUGUAGCGGUGAAAUGCGUAGAGAUCUGGAGGAAUACCGGUGGCGAAGGCGGCCCCCUGGACGAAGACUGACGCUCAGGUGCGAAAGCGUGGGGAGCAAACAGGAUUAGAUACCCGUGGUAGUCCACGCUGUAAACGAUGUCGAUUUGGAGGUUGUGCCCUUGAGGCGUGGCUUCCGGAGCUAACGCGUUAAAUCGACCGCCUGGGGAGUACGGCCGCAAGGUUAAAACUUAAAUGAAUUGA